UCAACUUGAGAGUUUGAUCCUGGCUCAGAACGAACGCUGGCGGUAGGCCUAACACAUGCAAGUCGAACGAAGGCCCGGAGCUUGCUCCGGUGUCCUUAGUGGCGGACGGGUGAGUAACGCGUGGGAAUUUGCCUUUCAGUACGGAAUAACUCCGGGAAACCGGUGCUAAUACCGUAUACGCCCUACGGGGGAAAGAUUUAUCGCUGAAAGAUGAGCCCGCGUCUGAUUAGCUUGUUGGUGAGGUAAUGGCUCACCAAGGCGACGAUCAGUAGCUGGUUUGAGAGGAUGAUCAGCCACACUGGAACUGAGACACGGUCCAGACUCCUACGGGAGGCAGCAGUGGGGAAUAUUGAACAAUGGGGGAAACCCUGAUCCAGCCAUACCGCGUGAGUGAUGAAGGCCUUAGGGUUGUAAAGCUCUUUCAGUGGGGAAGAUGAUGACGGUACCCACAGAAGAAGCCCCGGCUAACUCCGUGCCAGCAGCCGCGGUAAUACGGAGGGGGCAAGCGUUGUUCGGAAUUACUGGGCGUAAAGCGCGCGUAGGCGGUUUGUUUAGUUAGGCGUGAAAGCCCCGGGCUCAACCCGGGAACUGCGCUUAAUACUGGCAAACUAGAGUUCGGGAGAGGAGAGUGGAAUUUCCAGUGUAGAGGUGAAAUUCGUAGAUAUUGGAAAGAA
rnacentral:rRNA from 1 species